rnacentral:rRNA from 1 species
GACGAACGCUGGCGGCGUGCUUAACACAUGCAAGUCGAGCGGUAAGGCCCUUUCGGGGGUACACGAGCGGCGAACGGGUGAGUAACACGUGGGUGACCUCGCCCUCCAGCUCUGGGAUAAGCCUGGGAAACCGGGUCUAAUACUGGAUAUGACUCCAUGACGCAUGUUGUGGGGUGGAAAGCCUUGUGCGGCUGAGGAUGGGCCCGCGGCCUAUCAGCUUGUUGGUGGGGUGAUGGCCUACCAAGGCGACGAC